UUUCAAUCGUUCUUCUUCCCUUCAUU
rnacentral:sRNA from 1 species